UUUUUUUGCCGAUUUCGAAUGACACAAAGCAAAAUCAUCUCUACAGAUGGCAUGUUUGCGAUUGAUGAUGCCGGUAAUUUGUGACUAGAGAGUCACUGCCCUCUAGAGGAUGUAUUGCGUAACACCCAUAACAACGCUGAAACCAGAAGGAGGUAUGACGCCUCGUGCCCACUGCCUCCGUCCGUUGACUGAUCCCUAAUGACUUUUAAUGGGGACGGACGCGCAAUGCAUUGUGGAUCCGUGCGCUGAAGGCUCCGUCAGCGACGGAUCCGUCAUCCAAUCAGAUCACGCAUGCAAAUUUAAGCACUCUGACACUACUCGUCCUUUGACACUACACGUCCUUUGACUGACGGUGCAGUGGGCACAAGGACAGUUGAUGUAUCAUUAUUAGACAACAAAAAUAGAAAUAAACAAGUAAUACAGGAGUACAUAGACAAAUUCUAUAGCUAUGUUCAAAUUUAUACAGAUGCGUCGAAGUAAUAAAGUAGGGGUAGCUUUUACUGUACCGGAAUUUCGAGUGAAAAUAGGGAAGAGGGUUAAUAAUGAGGUAUCAGUUUAUGCAGGUGAACUGCUGGCAAUACUUUUGGCAGUGCAGUGGGUGGAGGACAACAGGCCAUUAAGGUCAGUUAUUUGCUCAGAUUCCAGUUCAGCAUUAAAGAGCCUACAGUACAACCGUUCCGAAAGCAGACCAGAUAUUUUGAUUGAGGUUCAACAGACAUUAUACCGUAUUCAAAUGAUGGGGCUUAUAGUGUUUUUUUUUAUGGGUUCCAGCACACAUUGGGAUUAGAGGAAAUGAAAUGGCACAUAAGCUUGCAAAAGAUGUUACAAAAAAAAGCGUAAUUGAUAUAAGUAUAAAUAUAGGUACAACUAAAAUUAAAGGGAUUAUUAAGCAAAUACUGAAUAAGAGAUGGCUGAAGCAGUGGGAAGAAGAGCGGAAAGAAAGAUGGUUUUACAGAGUGCAAAGGAAAGUGGGAGAAAUUAGAUGUGGAGAUAAGAGCAGAAGAGAGGAGUCGGUUCUAUCAAGACUGAGAUUUGGGCACACAGAGACCGCAGAACAUGUUAUAAUGCAGUGUGAGAGAUAUGAGGAAGGCAGAAGGCAGAUGAGGGGAAAAUUCAGAAAAGAAAAAGUAAGUUUUGAUUUAAUACACAUUUUACAAAUGAAUUCCAAUAAGUGUCUUAGGGUAACUAAUUUGGUUUUGAAAAUAUAGGUUCUAAAGUAUUUUAAUUAUUAUUAUCUUUAUUUUAUUUUUAUUUUAUUUUUUAUUUAUUUAUUUUGAAGCGAGGUUGAUAUUUGUGCCAAACUCCAUACCAGUAGAUGGCGGUAAUGCAUCUUUAAGUUGUUUACCAACUGCCAAAAAACAGGACACAAGAAGAAGAAGUGGGCAAGAGACGUGACGGCCUUGCAGGAACGCUACUUAAUUCUUCAGAAGAUGUGCUUUAGGGCCGUGCAGAGACCCUUUGAGGGGCAGGGGCUCAAAUUCCAAAAAGGGCACAUGUAAAUCCGCCUUACAUCAGACUACAUUCACACAAAUAUUAUCCAUCCAAAAUGCUACAAUCUGACUUCAAACUGUGUGUGUGUGUGUGUGUGUGUGUGUGUGUGUGUGUGUGUGUGUGUGUGUGUGUGUGUGUGUGUGUGUGUGUGUGUGUGUGUGUGUGUGUGUGUGUGUGUGUGUGUGUGUGUGUGUGUGUGUGUGAGAGACACAAAGAGAGAGAAAGAAGAGUGUGCGUAUGUGGAACAUCUGAUUAUU